ACGUAGGGGGCGAGCGUUGUCCGGAUUUACUGGGUGUAAAGGGCGAGUAGGCGGGAUUGCAAGUCAGAUGUGAAAUCUAUCGGCUUAACUGAUAGACUGCAUUUGAAACUGCGGUUCUUGAGUGAUGGAGAGGUAGGUGGAAUUUCUGGUGUAGCGGUGAAAUGCUUAGAUAUUAGGAGGAACACCAGUUGCGAAGGCGGCCUGCUGGACAUUAACUGACGCUGAGGCGCGAAAGUGUGGGGAGCAAACAG
rnacentral:rRNA from 1 species